CUACCCUUGACAUGUACGGAAGCCACGAGAGAUCGAGGUGUGCUCGAAAGAGAGCCGUAACACAGGUGCUGCAUGGCUGUCGUCAGCUCGUGUCGUGAGAUGUUGGGUUAAGUCCCGCAACGAGCGCAACCCUUGUCAUUAGUUGCUACGAAAGAGCACUCUAAUGAGACUGCCGGUGACAAACCGGAGGAAGGUGGGGAUGACGUCAAGUCCUCAUGGCCCUUAUGGGUAGGGCUUCACACGUCAUACAAUGGUACAUACAGAGGGCCGCCAACCCGCGAGGGGGAGCUAAUCCCAGAAAGUGUAUCGUAGUCCGGAUUGUAGUCUGCAACUCGACUACAUGAAGUUGGAAUCGCUAGUAAUCGCGGAUCAGCAUGUCGCGGUGAAUA
rnacentral:rRNA from 2 species